CUCUUUCAUUUCUCCCCCUUACAGGGGAGAAUUCAAAGAGGAGACACUGCUCUUCUUGUGGCCUAGCUCUGCAUCCUCAAAGAUGUAAUGGCUAAAUCCAUGUGAUAUGACUGUCAGCCACGGUCCCCUGUUAACAGCAGCAAACUCAUUCUCAUCUCAGCAAGUGGUCCUUAAACAAGAACUAUGAAGCUGCUAUAGGCUUAACCUGCUCCAGAAAGGGACAGUCACUUCAAUCAAGGACAGACUUUGCUCAUUUGCUUCCAGAUGCUCCAUCCUGCUGCACAAGGAAUUUGCAUUUUGGUGGCAGCACCCCGGGGCCGGAUGGAGCGGGCUCUGGGCACAGGCGGAGGCCCCGGUGCGGACAUGGCGCGGGCCGUCACUGAGAGG
rnacentral:lncRNA from 1 species